GUGAAGCAGAGUGUGAUGAAGAGGAGAGAAAAGGAGAAAAAAUGGGGUCAGAGAUAAUGAAAAAAGAGGAACCCAAGAAAGGGCUAAAAAGAGGGAGUUGAGAUGUAUUGUCAAAUCUUUUAAUGGCGGAAAAAAAAGAACGGAGGAAACAGAAGGGGCCACUAGUCAAGAUUCCACGCACACAUGCUCAACACUUUCUGCUACUGCAACAUUCAGCUCCGUUUGUACCUCU
rnacentral:lncRNA from 1 species